rnacentral:rRNA from 1 species
AUUGAACGCUGGCGGCAGGCCUAACACAUGCAAGUCGAGCGGAUGAGUGGAGCUUGCUCCAUGAUUCAGCGGCGGACGGGUGAGUAAUGCCUAGGAAUCUGCCUGGUAGUGGGGGACAACGUUUCGAAAGGAACGCUAAUACCGCAUACGUCCUACGGGAGAAAGCAGGGGACCUUCGGGCCUUGCGCUAUCAGAUGAGCCUAGGUCGGAUUAGCUAGUAGGUGAGGUAAUGGCUCACCUAGGCGACGAUCCGUAACUGGUCUGAGAGGAUGAUCAGUCACACUGGAACUGAGACACGGUCCAGACUCCUACGGGAGGCAGCAGUGGGGAAUAUUGGACAAUGGGCGAAAGCCUGAUCCAGCCAUGCCGCGUGUGUGAAGAAGGUCUUCGGAUUGUAAAGCACUUUAAGUUGGGAGGAAGGGCAGUAAGUUAAUACCUUGC